AACGUAGGAGACGAGCGUUAUCCGGAUUUACUGGGCGUAAAGCGCACGUAGGCGGAUUGUUAAGUCGGGGGUGAAAUCCUGGAGCUCAACUCCAGAACUGCCUUCGAUACUGGCGAUCUCGAGUUCGGGAGAGGUGAGUGGAACUGCGAGUGUAGAGGUGAAAUUCGUAGAUAUUCGCAAGAACACCAGUGGCGAAGGCGGCUCACUGGCCCGAUACUGACGCUGAGGUGCGAAAGCGUGGGGAGCAAACAGG
rnacentral:rRNA from 1 species